AAUAAAUAUUUCUCUCUUUAUUUCUCAACGGCGGCUGAGAGAAAAGCAUUAUAUAAUGAAAUAAAGAGGCUUAAGAAAGCUGAAGAGCAAGCAAGAUUGUAUGUAGAGAGGUACGUGCACAAGGAUGUGUUGUAUGUAUAAGACAAUAAUUCCAUAUUUAGAAAACUUAUAAAUGUUCCUCUUUUCUUUUUUCAGGCUUCAGAAGGAAUUAAGAGACUUGAAUCAAUCUUGGGAAUUAAAGUUUGAUAUUCUAAAGAGAAGCCUGCAUGCUAUUAAGAAUGAGAUGUAUCUUAGACAAUCACUGCAGCAAUCGGUGAAAUUAAGACGCCCAUUACUAAAUGAAAGGAAAGCUUUGCCUAUACACAUCCAGAAUCGAACUCAUAAUCCUCCACAUAAACGCCGUUGGAUCUCUAGUAGUUUGUAUAUGCAGUAUUCUCCUCUGCCGGAGAUAACUGCUGAGAUAGACAUUGAGCCAAGUGAUGAAGAUCAAAAUGAUGCUAACAAUCCAGUUACAACUGCAAUACCCAAUGCUUUAACACAAGAUGAGGAAAGGCUUGAACAAUCAAGGUUACCAUCCUCACCUCUUGUGUCCCCUGAACACUGAUGUAGGUUGGAAUCCUCUACCAUAUCUGGAACAAUUGUCUGUACCAAAAAGGUUGAAUGCUUUCAGUUUUUCUAAAGCUUAGAAGGAACCAAAAACAGAUUGACCAAAUGAGAAACCAUUGCUCCUGAGAGCAGUGCUUGAGUAUUUUCUGCCCAAAUGUCACAUUGAUAGAAGUAAGUCAAGAUAUUUCUGGAGCACUGCUUCUAACUGUUAAGAGCACUGGAGUGCUUUUCCCGCU
ensembl:lncRNA